GACGAACGCUGGCGGCGUGCUUAACACAUGCAAGUCGAACGGAAAGGCCCUGCUUUUGUGGGGUGCUCGAGUGGCGAACGGGUGAGUAACACGUGAGUAACCUGCCCUUGGCUUUGGGAUAACUUCAGGAAACUGGGGCUAAUACCGGAUAGGAGCUCCUGCUGCAUGGUGGGGGUUGGAAAGUUUCGGCGGUUGGGGAUGGACUCGCGGCUUAUCAGCUUGUGGGUGGGGUAGUGGCUUACCAAGGCUUUGACGGGUAGCCGGCCUGAGAGGGUGACCGGCCACAUUGGGACUGAGAUACGGCCCAGACUCCUACGGGAGGCAGCAGUGGGGAAUAUUGCACAAUGGGCGGAAGCCUGAUGCAGCAACGCCGCGUGCGGGAUGACGGCCUUCGGGUUGUAAACCGCUUUCGCCUGUGACGAAGCGUGAGUGACGGUAAUGGGUAAAGAAGCACCGGCUAACUACGUG
rnacentral:rRNA from 1 species